rnacentral:tRNA from 1 species
GGCCUUGUAGUUGAUUUACAACAUUAAAUUGCAGCUUUAAAAGAGUGUUAACCACCAAGGCUU